GUACACUCCUACGGGAGGCAGCAGUGGGGAAUAUUGCACAAUGGGCGCAAGCCUGAUGCAGCCAUGCCGCGUGUAUGAAGAAGGCCUUCGGGUUGUAAAGUACUUUCAGCGGGGAGGAAGGCAAUACGGUUAAUAACCGUGUUGAUUGACGUUACCCGCAGAAGAAGCACCGGCUAACUCCGUGCCAGCAGCCGCGGUAAUACGGAGGGUGCAAGCGUUAAUCGGAAUUACUGGGCGUAAAGCGCACGCAGGCGGUCUGUCAAGUCGGAUGUGAAAUCCCCGGGCUCAACCUGGGAACUGCAUUCGAAACUGGCAGGCUUGAGUCUUGUAGAGGGGGGUAGAAUUCCAGGUGUAGCGGUGAAAUGCGUAGAGAUCUGGAGGAAUACCGGUGGCGAAGGCGGCCCCCUGGACAAAGACUGACGCUCAGGUGCGAAAGCGUGGGGAGCAAACAGGAUUAGAUACCCGGGUAGUCCCAU
rnacentral:rRNA from 1 species